AGAAUCAACGCUGGCGGCGUGCCUAACACAUGCAAGUCGAACGAGAAAGUGGAGCAAUCCACGAGUAAAGUGGCGCACGGGUGAGUAACACGUGACUAACCUACCCUUGAGUGGGGGAUAACCUAGGGAAACCUGGGCUAAUACCGCAUAAUACCUACGGGUCAAAGGAGCAAUUCGCUUAAGCGAGGGGGUCGCGGCCGAUUAGUUAGUUGGCGGGGUAAUGGCCCACCAAGACGAUGAUCGGUAUCCGGCCUGAGAGGGCGCACGGACACACUGGAACUGAAACACGGUCCAGACUCCUACGGGAGGCAGCAGUGGGGAAUUUUGCGCAAUGGGGGAAACCCUGACGCAGCAACGCCGCGUGGAGGAUGAAGUCCUUGGGAUGUAAACUCCUUUCGAUCGGGACGAUAAUGACGGUACCGGAAGAAGAAGCCCGGCUAACUUCGUGCCAGCAGCCGAC
rnacentral:rRNA from 1 species